rnacentral:lncRNA from 1 species
UACAUGUGACUAUAUAUUGUUUAGAAGUGCUUCGAUUAAUUUUAUGAUGCAUAAAUUAUUAGGUAUUGCAGCGUUCAUUUAAUUUUACUCGUGAAUUAGAAUCCAAGGAAAGUGAUGGUGUAAGUAGCUCAGACAAUGAUGAUGAUUUAAGCCAUGUGAUUAAGUUUAAGAUUUCGGACUUCAAUGUUCAUGAUCGUGUUAGCAUUGGCCUUGGGGAUAG